AGAUUGAACGCUAGCGGGAUGCCUUACACAUGCAAGUCGAACGGCAGCACGGACUUCGGUCUGGUGGCGAGUGGCGAACGGGUGAGUAAUGUAUCGGAACGUGCCUAGUAGCGGGGGAUAACUACGCGAAAGCGUAGCUAAUACCGCAUACGCCCUACGGGGGAAAGCAGGGGAUCGCAAGACCUUGCACUAUUAGAGCGGCCGAUAUCGGAUUAGCUAGUUGGUGGGGUAACGGCUCACCAAGGCGACGAUCCGUAGCUGGUUUGAGAGGACGACCAGCCACACUGGGACUGAGACACGGCCCAGACUCCUACGGGAGGCAGCAGUGGGGAAUUUUGGACAAUGGGCGCAAGCCUGAUCCAGCAAUGCCGCGUGAGUGAAGAAGGCCUUCGGGUUGUAAAGCUCUUUUGUCAGGGAAGAAACGGUGGACUCUAAUACAGAUCACUAAUGACGGUACCUGAAGAAUAAGCACCGGCUAACUACGUGCCAGCAGCCGCGGUAAUACGUAGGGUGCAAGCGUUAAUCGGAAUUACUGGGCGUAAAGCGUGCGCAGGCGGUUGUGCAAGACAGAUGUGAAAUCCCCGGGCUCAACCUGGGAAUUGCAUUUGUGACUGCACGGCUAGAGUGUGUCAGAGGGGGGUAGAAUUAAUCCCGCGGCC
rnacentral:rRNA from 1 species